UACGGAGGGGGUUAGCGUUGUUCGGAAUGACUGGGCGUAAAGCGCGCGUAGGCGGAUCGGAAAGUUGGGGGUGAAAUCCCGGGGCUCAACCCGGGAAUUGCGCUUGAUACUGUCGUGCUUGAGGCCGGGAGAGGAUGGCGGAAUUCCCAGUGUAGAGGUGAAAUUCGUAGAUAUUGGGAAGAACACCGGUGGCGAAGGCGGGUCUCUGGGCAGUAACUGACGCUGAGGAGCGAAAGCGUGGGGAGCGAACAGG
rnacentral:rRNA from 1 species